UUUAUUUGAAGAAUACCUGCAGUCAACAACCAACAAUUCAUAAUGAAGUGGUGCUUUGUUUUUGCCGUCUUUGCCAUCGCUGUGUUUUCCUUUGAAUUUGGAAGUGCUAGAGACCCAACUCCAACACUAACAGUCAUUCCUAAAGACUCAUCAAGAUGCACUGGAGUUCAGAAAUGUGACGAGGAAUGUAAGGCAGCAGGUUUCUGGAAGGGUGAAUGCAAUUUAUGCAAAUCCAACCACUGCUCAUGUUUUUAUAAUUAAAAUGUAAACAGUAACUGAAACAAAUAAAUUUUGUUCCCCGAUUAAAAA